rnacentral:rRNA from 1 species
AGGACGAACGCUGGCGGCGCGCCUAAAACAUGCAAGUCGAACGAGAAGCCCGGGCUUGCCCGGGUGGACAGUGGCGAACGGGUGAGUAACACGUGAGGAACCUGCCCCGAAGACCGGGACAACACCGGGAAACCGGUGCUAAUACCGGAUACCUUCACCGGAUCGCAUGGUCUGGUGAAGAAAUGGAUUCCGCUUCGGGAUGGCCUCGCGGCCUAUCAGCUUGUUGGUGAGGUAACGGCUCACCAAGGCAACGACGGGUAGCUGGUCUGAGAGGAUGUCCAGCCACACUGGGACUGAGACACGGCCCAGACUCCUACGGGAGGCAGCAGUUAGGAAUCUUGCGCAAUGGACGAAAGUCUGACGCAGCGACGCCGCGUGCGGGAUGAAGGCCUUCGGGUUGUAAACCGCUUUCAGCAGGGACGAAAUUGACGGUACCUGCAGAAGAAGCCCCGGCAACUACGCGCCAGCAGCCGC